AAAGCGGGUAAGCUAAUCUUGGUGGAGGAUGUAGGUUAUUCAAGGUGAAAGAUGUGUCAGGUAGGUUAUUCAAGGUGGAGGAUGUAGGUUAUUUAAUGUGAAAGAUGUGUCAGGUAGGUUAUUCAAGGUGGAGGAUGUAGGUUAUUCAAGGUGAAAGAUGUGUCAGGUAGGUUAUUCAAGGUGGAGGAUGUAGGUUAUUCAAGGUGAAAGAUGUGUCAGGUAGGUUAUUCAAGGUGGAGGAUGUAGGUUAUUCAAGGUGAAAGAUGUGUCAGGUAGGUUAUUCAAGGUGGAGGAUGUAGGUUAUUCAAGGUGAAAGAUGUGUCAGGUAGGUUAUUCAAGGUGGAGGAUGUAGGUUAUUCAAGGUGAAAGAUGUGUCAGGUAGGUUAUUCAAGGUGGAGGAUGUAGGUUAUUCAAGGUGGAGGAUGUAGGUUAUUCAAGGUGGAGGAUGUAGGUUAUUCAAGGUGAAAGAUGUGUCAGGUAGGUUAUUCAAGGUGGAGGAUGUAGGUUAUUCAAGGUGAAAGAUGUGUCAGGUAGGUUAUUCAAGGUGGAGGAUGUAGGUUAUUCAAGGUGAAAGAUGUGUCAGGUAGGUUAUUCAAGGUGGAGGAUGUAGGUUAUUCAAGGUGAAAGAUGUGUCAGGUAGGUUAUUCAAGGUGAAAGAUGUGUCAGGUAGGUUAUUCAAGGUGGAGGAUGUAGGUUAUUCAAGGUGAAAGAUGUGUCAGGUAGGUUAUUCAAGGUGGAGGAUGUAGGUUAUUCAAGGUGGAGGAUGUAGGUUAUUCAAGGUGGAGGAUGUAGGUUAUUCAAGGUGAAAGAUGUGUCAGGUAGGUUAUUCAAGGUGGAGGAUGUAGGUUAUUCAAGGUGAAAGAUGUGUCAGGUAGGUUAUUCAAGGUGGAGGAUGUAGGUUAUUCAAGGU